GAGGCAGCGUGAAACAAGGUGUGGCAUAUGCCACACCAGUUUCUAAUAUUUUUUUUUUUUUUAUUUAUUUUUUUUUUUUUUAUAUGCAUAAUUCUAAAAGGCCUGGCACGGGGAGAAGGAAUUGAAAAUUGAAAACCAAACACUUUUCUUUUCCUAUUCUCCUCUUCUCCUUCUCUUCUCAUUCAUUCUACUCUCCUCUUCUCCUCUUCUCAAAAAUCACAAUUCACAAUCAAUAAAUCAAAUAUCUUCUUACAACAAACAAACAAACCUCUCCUUCCACUCUCAUCAGUCAACAACAUAAUUUUCUCUCUUCACUCUAAGUCUAAGCCAAGGAUGAAGAAAUUCUUCCCUGUGUUGAACGUGUUUUUUCAGCUAUGAAUAUUGUGAUCAAUGGUUAAAUGAUCGGCUUGUAACUUUUAUUGAAAGAGAUGUUCUUUUCACAAUUAGCACUGAUGUUAUUCUAGCUCAUUUUCAACAAAUGGAUGGCAGACGAUUUUCAUUGUAAUUUAACAAAUGUAUGGUUAAAUGUUUAUAUAUUAUUUUUA